AGGGCACUGGGUAGGUCAUGGAUAACUGGAGGUGAAGGUGGAGGCAGUGGAGUCGGACUGAUCGUUUAAGGUUGUACAUCUUGGAAAACAGGAUUAACUCGGGAUGAGGCUAAGAUGCUGGGACUUUAUAUGAGGGCAAUAGAGUUGCUGAAAGCUCAAGCAUUUGAGGUGGAAGGUAUGUUAAUUUUGUAGUUU